AGAGUUUGAUCAUGGCUCAGAACGAACGCUGGCGGCAGGCUUAACACAUGCAAGUCGAACGCACCUUCGGGUGAGUGGCAGACGGGUGAGUAACGCGUGGGAACGUGCCCUUCAGUUCGGAAUAACCCAGGGAAACUUGGGCUAAUACCGGAUACGUGCGAGAGCAGAAAGAUUUAUCGCUGAAGGAUCGGCCCGCGUCUGAUUAGCUAGUUGGUGGGGUAAUGGCCCACCAAGGCGACGAUCAGUAGCUGGUCUGAGAGGAUGAUCAGCCACAUUGGGACUGAGACACGGCCCAAACUCCUACGGGAGGCAGCAGUGGGGAAUAUUGGACAAUGGGCGCAAGCCUGAUCCAGCCAUGCCGCGUGAGUGAUGAAGGCCUUAGGGUUGUAAAGCUCUUUCGGCGGGGACGAUAAUGACGGUACCCGCAGAAGAAGCCCCGGCUAACUUCGUGCCAGCAGCCGCGGUAAUACGAAGGGGGCUAGCGUUGUUCGGAAUCACUGGGCGCAAAGGGCGCGUAGGCGGCUUGAUAAGUCGGGGGUGAAAGCCUGUGGCUCAACCACAGAAUUGCCUUCGAUACUGUCUGGCUUGAGACCGGAAGAGGUAAGUGGAACUGCGAGUGUAGAGGUGAAAUUCGUAGAUAUUCGCAAGAACACCAGUGGCGAAGGCGGCUUACUGGUCCGGUUCUGACGCUGAGGCGCGAAAGCGUGGGGAGCAAACAGGAUUAGAUACCCUAGUAGUCC
rnacentral:rRNA from 1 species